GUGCUCGCUUCGGCAGCACAUAUACUAAAAUUGGAAUGAUACAGAGAAGAUUAGCAUGGCCCCUGCGCAAGGAUGACACGUAAAUCCAAUGACAAAUGUCCUCAUAUG